rnacentral:misc_RNA from 1 species
AAGCUUGAUUUCCCAAGCUUCUACCCAUCAAAACCUUUAGCACCCUUCACAAAAAAUACUCCCCACUCCAUAAGGAAGCCAUAGAUACCCAUAAGAAGCAAGAAAGUUGAGGUUUGGGAAGCUCAAGUAAGGUUAGUGCACUAAUCCCUCUUCUUCUCUUUAUUAAACAUGAAAAGCAUGUUUAGCUAAGCAUAAAUACCAUUAAAACAAAAAGAAAAUCUAGAGGAAAGAACCCUUGAAUUUUUGGCAGCCAUGGAACUUGAAAUUUAUUGCUUUUAAGUGAUGAAAAAUGGUUCUAUGAGAAUGUGUAAUUAGUUGAAAUGUUUGGGUGUUUGAUUGUGUAGUGUUUGUGUAAAUUUGAAACUUUGAAAACUAGGGUUUGUGUAAAUGUUGAGAACUUUAUGUAAAAUGUUGAAAUUGAUCUAUUGGGAUGAGAUUGUUGCUUAUAGAAGUGUAUUGCAUGCAAAUUGAAGUAAGGAAGUUGGAGGAGAUUGAGUUUUGGAAGUGUCAAUUUUCUGCAGGUUGUGUUUGUUGAGGGCAGUGUACAUUUUAGGCCAUAAAUAAAAUUGUGUGACCCCAAUUGGUAUGAGGCCAAUUGGA